GGGAGAUGGGCUUUGUUGGUUUUGCUGUGAGGAAGAAGGAGUUAGUGCUGUGAGGAGAUGCCCAUGAGAAAUCAUCAAGAUGGGGUGAACGUGGAUCCUCUGAUCAAACUUCUCUCUGGCUCUCAGAAGUCACUGUAAAACGUCUUCCACACUACUGCAUCAACCCUGGAGCAGUUCAGGACACCCCAGGCUGUGCAGCUGAUUUCCUUGCUCAGAGGAUCUAGAAAGGCAGUUCAAGCUGGGCCAGACUGUGACUACAGGGGAAGUUGGUUUGUUUUGGUCUCCACGAGAAGCCUCAUUGCCCACCUUGUUGCUCUUCAGACAAUGGGUUUGUUGGAAAAGUGAGGCUGAGAUGCUUUGCUGUGGGUCUCACAUCAUCAAAAGGUUGUUGUUGAUAACUGGCCCAGUUGUGUUUGUUCCUUUUUGAGCCUGGUCCAUGGGGAAGGUGAAUUACAGAGCAAUUGUUGAGUUCUUGUUUUGCUCCCUGGUUCACACCCCGGUGAGUUGGGUGGUGGCAUUUCACUCA